UACGGGGGGGGCAAGCGUUGUUCGGAAUUACUGGGACGUAAAGGGCUCGUAUGGCGGCCAACUAAGUCAGACGAUGAAAUCCCCAGGCUCAACCUGGGAACUGCGUCUGAUACUGGAUGGCUUGAAUCCGGGAGAGGGAUGCAGAAUUCCAGGUGUAGCGGUGAAAUGCGUAGAUAUCUGGAGGAAUACCGGUGGCGAAGGCGGCAUCCUGGACCGGCAUUGACGCUGAGGAGCGAAAGCGUGGGGAGCAAACAGGG
rnacentral:rRNA from 1 species